rnacentral:lncRNA from 1 species
AGAAGCACUCUAGCUACAGAUUAGAAUGAUGACAAGAGUAAUACCUUCCUAGUGAAGAUGACUUUUAUUUCAGGACUAUAUUAAGUUUCCCAACUUCUGUCAUGAUAUAGUCCAAAGAGAACCUGGACCACGCAGACAUCAAACAGAACAUGACACUGACCCAUUCUAUCAGUGACGUUGUGCUGAUUGCACAGGACAGAUGAGAGGCUCGUAUACUAGAAGUCUUGAUAACUUGUUUUCUAGUUUCACAUGUCCACAGAUGAAGAAAAAUUGUGCCCCAGCAAGGAUUAUACCCAGAGCCUCAUCCAUUCAUACCUGAUUUAGAUACUUAGAUGAUGAGUAAUAGAAAAGCAUCAUCUUUAUGUAAAUCACUGUACUUGGCUUCGUGAGAAAUAUAAAAAUGAAUUGCUUCAAUCCCUGGACUCAAGGAUCCUGUGUUACCAAGGUGGUUAUCAAACCUGGGUCAAAGUUGAAUCACCUGAGGAUCUUUUAGAACAUACACAGCCAGCUGGACCUGCCCUCAGCUACCUCAUCUCUCUCUGUGACCUAAUGACAGAAAAGCACAUGAUUCUCUUCACCUGACUUCAUAUAUGGGUCCAUGUCAUAUGAUACUUCAAAAUCUGUGAUUCCAUGAAGCCAAGAGUAGCUCUUCAACAGGAAAUGAAUGAGUGCUUCAGCUUCUGAUCCCAUUAGUAAGAAAAUACAGUCUUAUGAGCAAUGAUGGAGCUGCAUCUCUUAGGGGCAUUUGAUUCCCAAGAGACCAAAGAGCAAAGAGAAUGUCAAUUUAAAAAAAUCAAAUGUUUCCAUGACUUAGCUAUUUAACUGCUUUAAAAUGAAUGAAUGCUGCUUCAAGUUCUUUCAAAUACCCCACAUCUUGGCAACAACGAAAGGAAUUAACAUGAAGAAAAUUUACAAUCUUUCAUCACAUCGAACAAUGUCCCACAUUUGAAAAGUUCACAGCACAGAUUUCUGGUUACUGAAAGAAAGGAAAGACCUUCUUUGGAUUUGAAUAAACAGAUGGACUUUCUUCUC